GCACUUCUGUCAGAGACUUCAUUUGGUAUUGAUCUCAAGCAGACACAGCAACAUUUAUAAUACACAGGCUGAUUGAUCAGAGCAGACGGGAUGAACCUUGUUUUCCUGAUCGCCAUCACGUUUACUCUUGCCCUUGUUCAUGGGAACAAUACGCCCUGUGUGUAUAACCCUGACAACAAUGCGUACAACAGAUUUGUUUGGAGACACAUCAUUAACCAGCCCUUUAACAGAAACUCUAAGAGUGACUGGCAAAUGUACAUAAGGAACAGUGGACUCUGCGGCAGACCUCACCAGUCCUUCUUCGAGCCCGGGUAUCAGGGAUCUAUCGUGCAGAUCUGUCAAGGCUAUGGCCGCCCACUGUUAUAUCCUAGAGUAGGUAACUUAUGCAUCAGUCCAAAAGCCCUACCAUUUUAUUAUGUUACGGUUGACAACAAUUGUGUAGUUCGAAAUGUAGUUCCUAACAUUAAUUAUGUUAUUGUGGCUUGUGAUGUGAUUGUAAACCAG